rnacentral:lncRNA from 1 species
UCUCAGUUCUGAAUCUCAGUAGAGACUUCUCAAUCAACACCUGGGAUAAUACACACUGCUCGAUUUUGGUUGUGGUAAACAAUUAAAAUGGGAAAUAAUUGUUCAUGUCAAGAGAACAUCCAGACGACCGUUCCAAGAGAAGAGACAGUCCCAAGAGAAGACACGGUCCCAAGAGAAGACACAGUCCCAAGGGAAGAGUUGACAAGGCCAGUGAAGGUGGACCCAAGGAAGAAACAUUAUCGUAGGACAAAAAGAAGGCUGAGGAACGUUAAACCCUCAGGAGGCAGUGUAAGAUCUACAGUGGAACCUUAUGGAGAGUUUGGAAACUCUAGCAGCAACAUUGAAGGUGCUCCUUUGAUAAGAACAGAAUUUACAAACAUUGGCUUGAAUAGACACUGCACACUCUCAGACUUGGAGACUGUGUGUACAGCAGAGAAGUCCUGUAGCGCUGCUGAUGGUGCUCCUUUGAUAAGAACAGAAUUUACAAACAUUGGCUUGAAUAGACACUGCACACUCUCAGACUUGGAGACUGUGUGUACAGCAGAGAAGUCCUGUAGCGCUGCUGAUGAUCUUGAUAUGUUUGAAGACAACGUUGAGGAUGAUUUGGAUAUUGAUAUGUUUGAAGAAAAUGCUGAGGAUGACAUGGAUAGGGAGAACAGCCUUCAAAGCGAUGAUCUUGGUGGUGAUACCGAUGGUUUUAAUGAGGUCAACGCUGAGAAUGACUUGCAUGAAGAGAGCAGCCUUGAAAGCAGCUAUGUUAGUAGUAGUGGGUUGUCUGAUAAACACCAGAUGAAGAUUCCCCAAGAAAAGGAGAAAAAUCCAUUGCCAAUUAAGGUCCAGUCAAGGAAGCGCAGAUACCUUAGUGCUAUACUGAGAAGACUGGGACUUAGGCCCACCGAGUCCUCCAGUGUCAGACCUGAAACAGCGACUGUGGCAGUGGCAGAAAAGGCCUGUGGUGCUAGUGAAGAUUUGCACAGGGAGGAGCAAAUGAAGGCCUCAGGAAAAGAAGUAAGACCACCAUUGGCUGAGGUCCGGUCAAGGAAGUGCAGAUGCAUUACUGAUAUGAUGAAGAAACUUGGGAUUCACUGCUCCAUUUCCUUCAUCCACAUUAGAAGACCUGUACCAUUGACUGUGACUGCAGCAGAAAAGGCCCAUGGGACUAAAGUCGACAGAGGUGACGGUGAUGACAACUCCGGCUUCUCUAGUCAUAACCGCUUGAAAAACAAAGACCGCAUUUCUGAAUCGCACAAGGAACAAAUGAAGGCCUCACAAAGAGAGGCAAUACCACCACCGGCUGAGGUCCGGUCAAGGAGGUGGAGAUGCAUUUCUGCAAUCCUGAAAAGACUGGGUUUUGAAGAGAUCAGUUCCCAGAAAGAUCCUGAAAUAAUAGUCCUCUAUACGACAGAAAAGGCCUGCACCACAAACGAUAUCCAUGGCAUGGACGACAGCACUGAGGGCAACUUGACUAGUGGGAGAAUGAAGUAUAAGCGGAACCAAAUGAAGGCCUCACAAGAACAGAAUGACAAAUUGUCACUGAUUAAGGUCCGAUCGAGUACAAGGAGAUGCUUUUCUGCUCUACUGAAGAGACUGGGUCUCAGAUGGGCCCAGGAUGGUGAACACAGCAGCGUACCUCAAAUAAAGACUGUGCUUACAGCCGAAAAGGCCUGUGGUACUCAUGACGAUAUUGAUAUGUUUGAAGACAACGUUGAGGAUGACUUGGGUAGUGAUAUGUUUGAAACAGACACUGAGGAUGACAUGAAUAUUGAUGAUUUGGAUGUGGACGAUUUGGAGGAUGAGUUGGAAAUCCACAAUAUAUAUAAGAGUGACUCUGAGAAUUGCUUGAGUAGUGACGACAGCCUGCACAGCUAUGAAUUUGUUACUGACAGUACUUUUGAAGACUUAAGUGGCAAACAGGAUGACUUGUUCAUAAACGUGAAAAGCACAGGAGCGGUGUAUGGUGUCUAUGACAUUGAGGGCAGAAGUCUGUUCUCAUUAGACAAAAAUGAAUGGCACAGAAGAACCAGAAAGCCAAACUCUGGCUCAGAAGAUGUCAUCCAUGAAAGCUGGAAGGCAGGAAGAAGAAAUCACUAAGCCCUGUCCUGAAGUAAACAGACAUAACCACCAGGGUAUGGGUCAUGAGUUCCCUUACCUUCCUCUUCCAGCACCAGCCCAGUCGUCCCAGCCUGAAGGUCCAAUUGCAUAAAGGGUUGGAACUUCCUGGGUCAGUGCUUCAACGCUGUCUGUUUGUGGCGGGGCCUUCCCCUCGCUUUCUGCUCCUUAGCAUCCAGAGCCACUUUUGGUGUAGUAGCCCCAGGGUAGGAGUGGGUACUGGGUCUGUGCCCAGGAGAAUGGGUUGAGAGUUCCUAAGCUUUUAAUUUUUUUCAAAUAAAAAUAAAUUUAUUUAAAACUGG